CAGGCUCAGCCAGGGGGACUCCCUGGGGCUCCCGGGGUCCCUGAGGGGAGGCUCCUCCCACACCUGGGGCUCUUUUGCAUCUGGAGCCCCGAGGGAGCCGCAGGGAGCCCUGCCCAGGACAUAAAAGCUUCCUCCCUCCUUCCUGCCCCUCAGGGCUCUGGCUGCUCUCUGCUCAGUCUCUGAAGGCCAGGAUGAGCUCCCCAUGGCAGCUGCUCUGGCUCCUGGUGCUCUGGGCUCAGGAUUCCCAAGGAGCCAUUGUGCUGACCCAGUCUCCAGCCUCCUUGUCCGGAUCUCCAGGGGAGACAGUCACCAUCAGCUGCAAGGCCAGUCAGAGUGUGUCUAGUUCUAGUUACAACUACUUGCACUGGUACCAGCAGAAACCUGGCCAAGCCCCCAGGCUCCUCAUCUCCUAUGCUAACAGUCUGGCAUCCGGGGUCCCUGCCCGGUUCAGUGGCAGUGGGUCUGGGACAGAUUUCACUCUCAUCAUCAGCAGCCUGGAGCCCGAGGAUGCUGCACAUUAUUACUGUCAGCAGAAUUAUGACUGGCCUCCCACAGUGUUUCAGGCCCGAACAAAAACCUCCCCAAUGCUUCCAGGGGACUCAGCUCAGAGCAGCAGGUGCCUCCUCGGGGUCCCCAGGGCAGAGCAGCCCCUGCUCUCUGGGCAGGCUCUCACCUCCCAGGGCUUCUCCUUUCUGGUCCCCCGGGUCCCUCCUUUCUAA